GACGAACGCUGGCGGCGUGCUUAACACAUGCAAGUCGAACGGAAAGGCCCUGCUUUUGUGGGGUGCUCGAGUGGCGAACGGGUGAGUAACACGUGAGUAACCUGCCCUUGACUUUGGGAUAACUUCAGGAAACUGGGGCUAAUACCGGAUAGGAGCUCCUGCUGCAUGGUGGGGGUUGGAAAGUUUCGGAGGAUGGGGAUGGACUCGCGGCUUAUCAGCUUGUUGGUGGGGUAGUGGCUUACCAAGGCUUUGACGGGUAGCCGGCCUGAGAGGGUGACCGGCCACAUUGGGACUGAGAGACGGCCCAGACUCCUACGGGAGGCAGCAGUGGGGAAUAUUGCACAAUGGGCGGAAGCCUGAUGCAGCAACGCCGCGUGCGGGAUGACGGCCUUCGGGUUGUAAACCGCUUUCGCCUGUGACGAAGCGUGAGUGACGGUAAUGGGUAAAGAAGCACCGGCUAACUACGUG
rnacentral:rRNA from 1 species